CGAGAAAACUCAAUUAAACAAGGUGCCCUCUUUCUGGAAUCAUUAACCGCUGCAGAAUUUGGUUGUCCAGAGGGAUGAAGCUGAAACAGAGCUUGCAAGUUUCACAAUGGCUGUGUUCGUCAUCAGGGAAGAGGGUGAUUCUCUCCAACCACCACAUGACAUUGGUAUAGUCAUUGAAGGUGUGAAAGUC